CGUGGCGGGGCGGGCGCCGGAGUCACGUGGCCGGGCGCGCGGCGGCGGCGCGAUGGUGGAGCAGGAGGGCGGCGGCGGCUCGGGCGGCAUCAGCGAGGAGGAGGCGGCGCAGUACGACCGGCAGAUCCGGCUGUGGGGGCUGGAGGCGCAGCGCCGGCUGCGAGCGUCCCGGGUGCUGCUGGUUGGCAUGAAGGGUCUGGGAGCAGAAGUGGCGAAGAACCUCAUCUUGGCAGGCGUCAAAGGCCUGACCAUGCUCGACCAUCAGCAGGUAUCGCAGGAGGACACGAGAGCUCAGUUCCUGAUUCCCGUGGGCUCGCUGGGCCGCAACAGAGCCGAAGCCUCUUUGGAACGGGCUCAGAACCUCAACCCCAUGGUAGACGUGAAAGCUGACCCGGAGAAUAUCGAAAACAAAGCCGAAGAUUUCUUUACUCAGUUUGAUGCUGUGUGCCUGACCUGCUGCUCCCGCUGCGUCCUGGUGAGGGUCGAUCAGAUCUGCCACAAAAGUGGCAUCAAGUUCUUCACCGGGGACAUCUUUGGCUACUAUGGCUACAUGUUCGCCAACCUGGGGGCGCACGAGUUCGUGGAAGAGAAGACCAAGGUCACCAAAGCCAGCCAGGGAGUGGAAGAUGGGCCCGACACCAAAAAAGUCAAGCUCGAUUCAACAGAGACAACCAUGGUGAAAAAGCGGGUGGUUUUCUGCCAGCUGAAGGAGGCGCUGGCAGUCGACUGGAGCAGUGAGAAGGCGAAGGCAGCCCUGAAGCGCACCUCCCCGGACUACUUCCUGCUCCAGGUGCUGCUGAAAUUCCGGACGGAUAAAGGGAGGGACCCGUUGCCGGAGAGCUGUGCCGAAGACUCGGAGCUGCUGUUGCAGAUCCGAAAUGAGGUGCUGGACUCCCUGGGUGUCAGUGCAGACCUGCUGCCUGACGACUUCAUCAGGUGCGCUGGUUUGGCUGCAGUCCAGUGUCGGGGCUGGGAUCGGGACUCUAGGCCUGGUGCCAAGCAUGCGGUUCAGUCACAUCCUCACGGGAGAGUACCUUCCCUUGGCCAGCUAUUGCUUCUCUGAAAUGGCUCCCGUCUGCGCAGUGCUUGGAGGUGUCCUGGGACAGGAGGUCGUCAAGGCCCUGUCCCAGCGGGAUCCACCCCACAACAACUUCUUCUUCUUCGAUGGCAUCAAAGGGAACGGGGUCGUUGAGUGCCUGGGUCCCCGCUGAGCCUGGAGUCGCUGGCCUCCCAGUGCGUCUGCCUGCAGCUGCGGGUCAGCACCCGGUGCCCCUGGAGCCCCCGCAGCAUAGCCCUGGAGUGCCACUUGCACCACCGUCCCCUCCAGCUGCAGCCCUGCGGCCAGCACAGACAUGGCCCCCACGGGUGCCGGAGGGGCGUAGCCCUGCUGAGGCCUGUGCCCGGGAGGGGGAGCAAUCCUCCACUUGCUCGCCCUGUGCAUUCUCCUGGGCUCUCAAAUAAACUCUCUUCUUCCCAA